rnacentral:rRNA from 1 species
CCCGGUGAGUAUAGCGAGUGUGAACCACCUGAUUCCAUGCCGAACUCAGAAGUGAAACCACUUUGCGCCGAUGAUAGUGUGGCAGUUGCCAUGUGAAAGUAGGGCAUUACCGGGG